rnacentral:rRNA from 1 species
AGCCCAGACUCCUACGGGAGGCAGCAGUGAGGAAUAUUGGUCAAUGGGCGGGAGCCUGAACCAGCCAAGUCGCGUGAGGGAAUAAGGCCCUACGGGUCGUAAACCUCUUUUGCCGGGGAGCAAGGGCCGGGACGAGUCCCGGUCCGGAGAGUACCCGGAGAAAAAGCAUCGGCUAACUCCGUGCCAGCAGCCGCGGUAAUACGGAGGAUGCGAGCGUUAUCCGGAUUUAUUGGGUUUAAAGGGUGCGUAGGCGGGCUUUUAAGUCAGCGGUAAAAAUUCGGGGCUCAACCCCGUCCGGCCGUUGAAACUGGGGGCCUUGAGUGGGCGAGAAGAAGGCGGAAUGCGUGGUGUAGCGGUGAAAUGCAUAGAUAUCACGCAGAACCCCGAUUGCGAAGGCAGCCUUCCGGCGCCCUACUGACGCUGAGGCACGAAAGUGCGGGGAUCGAACAGGAUUAGAUACCCCGGUAAG